CAGUAAAAGUGAAGUCUCAACUUGUUCCCGGAAUGUGGUGAGAUGCCACUGUUCCUCGCACCUCGCCUGGCGCGUACAGCACCAGGCAGAAGAGCGGUGGUCACAUCACCAGCCCUUCACAUGAUGUGGUCGUUGGAAAGGCGUGGAUCGUUCUGCGGUCUGUGUUGGAGCCGGCGCGUCAUCGGGGCGGACCAGGUGCGUGAACGAUAAGACCCGAAAGAUGGUGAACUAUGCUUGCGUAGUUUGAAGCCAGAGGACCGCAGCGAUUCUGAUGUGCAAAUCGAUCUUAAAACGUGAGUAUAAGGGCGAAAGACCUAUCAAACCAUAUAGCAGCUGGUUCCCUUCGAAGUUUCCCUCAGGAUAGCUGGCACUCAUUCGCAAGAUCAGUUUUAUCCGGGAAAGCGAAUGAAUAGAGGGACUGGGUUCAAAACGAGCUCAACCGAUUCUCAAUCUUUAAAUAAGUGAGAUGCCCGGCUCGCUUUGUAGAAGUCGGGCGCUAAAUGUGCGAAAGCCAAGUUGGCCACUUUUGGUAAGCAGAACUGGCGCUGUGGGAUAAACCAAACGCCCGGUUAAGGUGCCUAAUGCUGACGCUCAUGAGAAACGAUAAA
rnacentral:ncRNA from 1 species